GGUCCCAUAGCUCAGUUGGUUAGAGCGUCGUACUAAUAUCUUCCUAUCAUCUGAAUAAGAAAUAUUGAGUAAAUGCGAAGGCCGAGAGUUCAAGCCUCUCUGGGACCA
rnacentral:tRNA from 1 species